rnacentral:misc_RNA from 1 species
AACCAUUCUCACCUGCGGCUAGACCUGCGGAAGGAUCAUUAACAAGAAUACCCAUUUCUUAUAAACCACUCUACUCGUUCGUUUUGGCCUCUCUCGGGGGGUCGGAGCGGAUGGUGAACUAUGAAGGCUUUCUUCCGGCGCUUCGGCGUUGGCCCUGUCUAAGAUGGAUAGAUGCUAUCAGGGAGCGGGAAGUCGGCUGGCAGUGCUGUUUCAGGUGCUCUGUCGGCUAAAUUAGCAUUU